rfam:Triticum aestivum genome assembly, contig: Triticum_aestivum_CS42_TGACv1_scaffold_049997_1BS
UAUGUACUCCCUCCAUCCGGAAAUACUUGUCGUAGAAAUGGAUACAAAUGGAUGCAUCUAGAGUUAAAAUACAUCCAGAUACAUCCAUUCCUCGGACAAGUAUUUCCGGACGGAGGGAGCAGUCA